GGGAACCGUGGGAAUGUAGGAUGUAUGGAGUUCUGGGGUGGUGUCAGGGCAUAUUUGGGGAAUCCUGAGGGUGUAUGGGUUUCAGGGUAUAGAGAGUCUGGUGCUUUGGGGGGGUAUUUAGGGGCAUAUGGAACUAUGGGAUGGGCAUAUGGGAUCCAGAUGAGUUGCACAGGGAAUGUGUGGGAUUAGUGGGGGCAGGAGCGUUGACAUGGGGACAAUUGGGGGGGGGACAUUGUCUGAUGUGGACAUCUGUGAGCCCCCAGAGCCUUUCGAGGUGUCUCUGCAGGAAGCCAUCCAAAUGAUUUGGGUGAAGCUGGGCCAGUUGGAGCAAGCUCCUGCCUGCAUCCCCCCCUGCGGGCACCAGCCGGCCGCCCGCGUCUUCCAGUGCGCGACCUGCCGCCUCGUGGACUGCCAGUUCCCUGUAGACUGCCCAGUUCAGGACGUGUGGGUCCACGAGGAUGAAGCCAUCACG
ensembl:lncRNA